rnacentral:rRNA from 1 species
AAUGAACGUUGGCGGCGUGGAUUAGGCAUGCAAGUCGCGCGAGAAGUUUCCUUCGGGAGACGGACAGCGGCGGAAGGGAGAGGAAUAAGUAGAAAUCUGCCCUCGGGACGGGGAUAGCGGCGGGAAACUGCCGGUAAUACCCGAUAACAUCUUUGGAUCAAAUGGUGUGAUUCCGCCUGAGGAUGAGUCUACUUCCUAUUAGCUAGUUGGUGUGGUAAUGGCUCACCAAGGCAACGAUGGGUAGCGGGUGUGAGAGCACGAUCCGCCUCACUGGGACUGAGACACUGCUCAGACACCUACGGGUGGCUGCAGUCGAGAAUCUUCGGCAAUGGGGGAAACCCUGACCGAGCGACGCCGCGUGCGGGAUGAAGGCCCUCGGGUUGUAAACCGCUGUCGUAAGGGAACAAAUCUAAGAGGGUACUCCCUUUUAGUUGAGUGAUCUUAGGAGGAAGGACGGGCUAAGUUCGUG